rnacentral:rRNA from 1 species
GAUGAACGCUGGCGGCGUGCCUAAUACAUGCAAGUCGAGCGAACGGACGAGAAGCUUGCUUCUCUGAUGUUAGCGGCGGACGGGUGAGUAACACGUGGAUAACCUACCUAUAAGACUGGGAUAACUUCGGGAAACCGGAGCUAAUACCGGAUGAUAUUUUGAACCGCAUGGUUCAAAAGUGAAAGACGGUCUUGCUGUCACUUAUAGAUGGAUCCGCGCUGCAUUAGCUAGUUGGUAAGGUAACGGCUUACCAAGGCAACGAUGCAUAGCCGACCUGAGAGGGUGAUCGGCCACACUGGAACUGAGACACGGUCCAGACUCCUACGGGAGGCAGCAGUAGGGAAUCUUCCGCUAUGGGCGAAAGCCUGACGGAGCAACGCCGCGUGAGUGAUGAAGGUCUUCGGAUCGUAAAACUCUGUUAUUAGGGAAGAACAUAUGUGUAAGUAACUGUGCACAUCUUGACGGUACCUAAUCAGAAAGCCACGGCUAACUACGUG